AGCUCUCAUGGCGUAUAUCGUCAUUGUUGCAGUUAAAAAGCUCGUAGUUGGAUCUCAGCGUUCGUCCGUGGUCCGCCCUCUGGGCGAGUACUGCGGACCUCGCUCUCGUGUCGGUCUUCGCUGGGUUUCCGCCCAGCGUGGCUGACAAGAUUACUUUGAACAAAUCAGAGUGCUCAAAACAGGCUGGUGCCUGAAUGAUCUUGCAUGGAAUAAUGGAAUAGGACUGCGGUUCUAUUUUGUUGGUUUUCGGAACCACAGUAAUGAUUGAGAGGAACAAACGGGGGCAUUCGUAUCGCUACGCGAGAGGUGAAAUUCUUAGACCGUAGCGGGACGCCCGAUUGCGAAAGCAUUUGCCAAGAAUGUUUUCA
rnacentral:rRNA from 1 species